AGCAUUGAAGAAUAUAUGAAUAAAGUGUUGGUGUUCAAGGUGAAAUUGGUGUGGUGUUGCGUGGUCGUUUCAAGGUUUUUGGAUUUCAAGGUCGAUUGCUGAGAGUGUUAAGGGGGGGGUAUUGUGUGUGAUCAAAUUGUUUUUCCUGAAGGCGAUUGGAUUUCAAGGUCGGACGCUGAGAACAAAGGGGGGUUUAAUGUUUGUGUUCUUCUGGGGGAUGGGGUGCCACUGGCGGUGCCAGUUCAGCGCUGAGAGUGUAAAAAAUGGGUUGCGUAAUUUUUCGGCUGCCGUCUCAAGAUUGAGGGUAAAACGUAAUUAUUCUUCUUGCCGGCUUCGUAUCUCAAAGGCCGAGAGCGCGCCGGGGGUCGAGAGAACAAAGGGUGUAUUGUUUGUGGUCAAGGUCAAACGUGGUGCAAUUCUUAGGCUAUCGAGGGAUGGUUUGCGACUUGGAGAGUGGGGGGUGUAAUAUAAGAGGAGAUGUCAAGAGUAAUUGUUCAUCAUCAUCAUCAGCAGCAGCAGCAGCGGCAGAAACGGAAAAAAAGAAUUGACAAGCUGGUAAAGAAAAUUAGAAAAUUAAAGUGGGAUGUGGAAAUUUUGGGUUGUCGGCGCAGUAUGGAAAAAUUGAUGUUGGGAGGCCUACUGGCGAUUUGUGGUGAAUAUGUGGCGAACGGCUGUUGAAUGCCUUCAUCAAACCUUAUUGGUAUUACUAUCUGAUGCUGAGCAUGAGGCGGUGUAUGGACCUGAGACUUUUAGGGAACAGUGUCAAAACAUUGCCCAAAGGUAUGAGUUGGGGAUUGAAAUAUGUAGACGCUUUUUAAAUUAUAAAAUAUCCGUUUAUUGCCUUAUGAACGGACUAAACGUGGCUCAGUUGGGUGAAUACAUAAUAUGGUGAUGAAGAAAGUGACAUUUGACGAUAGUAACAAUCGCGUGUAUGUGCUGAUCGCGUGGUCAUGUGCAUAUAAUGAAGCGCGAAAAGGGCCUUGGAUAGAUUUCGCUUUAGUAGGAAAAUAGAGCAAUUUUGUAAGAUAUUGUCUCUCGUCUUAGCAGAAAAUCAUCGAUCAUCGGUUUAUCGCACUAGAUUUCAUGGUCAACAUCAGACCGCAAUAUAAUGGUAUAUAUCGCACUGGAUUUCAAGGCCACCAUACAGCAAUGUAAUGGUUUAUCGCACUCUAGAUUUCAAGGUCAUCAGCCAGCAAUAUACUGGUGGUAGAAAACGGUGCCUGGAAUCAGUCGAAUGGUGUUGACUAAUCAGUUAAAAUGGAUCUUAAUCGACUCAACAGUAGCACCUACUGCAAACCUUUCAAGAACGUCAAGGAUAUGAAGGUUGGUGAAAAGUAUAAAGUGAUUGGUAUCGAUCUAAUCAAUACCAAGUAUGGCGAUCGAAUACUGAUCGAUACUGAGAACUUUAAGUGCAUCCUUCCUUUGCGCUUUUAUGAGUACUUCAAGAGCGACAACUGUCUGCAGAUCUUCAAGGACUUCUUGUCCAGGGAAGAAGUCUUUAUAACAAGCGCUGGAACGGCGGGGAAGACUACUAAUUUAACAUUUAUGUAAAAAAGUUGUAAAUGAGAGAGAGAGAGAGAGAGAGAGAGAGAGAGAGAGAUAAUAAAUGUUGUUCACGAGAGAGAAAUUGGGUCUCUUAUUUAAAUGCACAUCCCACUCUCGAGAUCAUCUCAACGAAAAAAAAAAAAGGCUCCAAAAUGUGGUGACGAGGAUGAGGGCGACGAUGACAACAUCUAUCGCGAUAUUGAAGAUGUGUUAAACUAUAAGUUUAACGUAAAUUCUCACAAUACAGUUUGCAAGAUGGAAUUAUUAUACUAUCGACCUACUUAUUUUAUGUAUCACAUAUGUCAAUAAACGUACUCUAUUUGA